GCGCGGCGUCCGCGCCCAGUGGUGGCGGAACGGCGGCAGGCCUGUCGUGAGGGAAAGCGCAUUCCACGUGCUGCGGCCGAAGCCACUCCCCUUGUGUGCAUGCUUCCAGAGGCGACGAAGGAAAGCGUCUACACAUAAGCUCAGGUUCUGGGGUACAUGUGCAGAUCAUGGGAUCGUUGCUUAGGGGACAAAAAUGAAGGUUAUUGAAAAGAAUCAUGCUUGGUGGAAGAAGUAAUUACAUUUUUUUUCAAAUGUCAGAGGAAUAAUGCUUUUAUAUUUCCUGAGGUGACCCAAUUUGCACUACGAUAUGCUCCCUUAAAUGGUCAUCCUUCAACGGAUCUCUGGAAAAAUUCACCUCCUUUUGAAUGCCUUCUUUGUGACUCUUCUCAUUUUGCUUCUCCAAGUGUUUUACACUGAUCAUAGAACAUAAUUGACACUUCAUUAUCUAUUGUCAUUCUGAGAAAAGCAACGAUAGCCCAUAGAUGAUCUGAAAACAGAAUGAAUUGGAACACUUGUGCUUGAAAG
rnacentral:lncRNA from 1 species